AUACGUAGGUGGCGAGCGUUGUCCGGAAUUAUUGGGCGUAAAGAGCAUGUAGGCGGCCUAUUAAGUCGAGCGUGAAAAUGCGGGGCUCAACCCCGUAUGGCGCUGGAAACUGGUAGGCUUGAGUGCAGGAGAGGAAAGGGGAAUUCCCAGUGUAGCGGUGAAAUGCGUUGAUAUUGGGAGGAACACCAGUGGCGAAGGCGCCUUUCUGGACUGUGUCUGACGCUGAGAUGCGAAAGCCAGGGUAGCGAACGGGAUGAGAUACCCCGGUAGUCCGGGCCGUAAACGAUGGGUACAAGGUUUAGGAGUUAUCGCCCCCUUCUGUGCCGGAGUUAACGCAAUAAGUACCCCGCCUGGGGAGUACGGCCGCAAGGUUGAAACUCAAAGUAAUUGACGGGG
rnacentral:rRNA from 1 species